rnacentral:tRNA from 1 species
GCCGAAGUGGUGGAACUGGCAGACGCGCUGGACUCAAAAUCCAGUGGAGCUCAAACUCCGUGUGGGUUCGACUCCCACCUUCGGCACCA